GAUGAACGCUGGCGGCGUGCCUAAUACAUGCAAGUCGAGCGAACAGACGAGGAGCUUGCUCCUCUGACGUUAGCGGCGGACGGGUGAGUAACACGUGGAUAACCUACCUAUAAGACUGGGAUAACUUCGGGAAACCGGAGCUAAUACCGGAUAAUAUAUUGAACCGCAUGGUUCAAUAGUGAAAGACGGUUUUGCUGUCACUUAUAGAUGGAUCCGCGCCGCAUUAGCUAGUUGGUAAGGUAACGGCUUACCAAGGCAACGAUGCGUUGCCGACCUGAGAGGGUGAUCGGCCACACUGGAACUGAGACACGGUCCAGACUCCUACGGGAGGCAGCAGUAGGGAAUCUUCCGCAAUGGGCGAAAGCCUGACGGAGCAACGCCGCGUGAGUGAUGAAGGUCUUCGGAUCGUAAAACUCUGUUAUUAGGGAAGAACAAAUGUGUAAGUAACUAUGCACGUCUUGACGGUACCUAAUCAGAAUGCCACGGCUAACUACGUG
rnacentral:rRNA from 1 species